rnacentral:rRNA from 1 species
GUGUCAGCCGCCGCGGUAAUACGUGGGGCGCAAGCGUUACCCGGAAUCAUUGGGCGUAAAGCGUCCGUAGGCUGUUUCGCGCGUUUGUUCUUAAAUCGACAGGCUUAACCUGUCGGCUGGAGCGGAUACGGCGAGACUUGAAGAUGGAAGAGACAAGCGGAACUCCCGGUGUAGCGAUGAAAUGCGUUUAUAUCGGGGGGAACACCAGUGGCGAAGGCGGCUUGUUGGUCCAUUCUUGACGCUGAGGGACGAAAGCGUGGGUAGCGAACAGGAUUAGAUACCCUGGUAGUCCACGCUGUAAACGAUGAACACUAGACAUUGGGAGAGUCGACCCUCUCAGAGUCGAAGCUAACGCGUUAAGUGUUCCGCCUGGGGAGUACGGCCGCAAGGCUAAA